GGCAAACUUGGCAUGUGAUACCUUUUCGGAAAGCCCAAAGACAGCCCUCCGACGAAAGAACCAGGACAAUGGAACUUUUCCAUUGACUUUUUGUCGACCCCACAUUUUGACCUUUAAGUACUUUUUCGGGCAUUUUCGUGAUUUGGGCUAUAUUACGGACCCAAAAUUACUUGUUCAAGCAUUGUUUUCGAAUUUUUUCAUGCAUCAAAGCUCGUUAAGACUAGAUGGGGUAUCCCUACAUAGCGGGUGGGACCCACGGCGAAUGGUUCAUCAAGUCUUCAAAAAAGAAUAUAUACGAUUGCAUUGCAUAUACUAACGGAUGCGAUCAUACCAGCACUAAUGCACCGGAUCCCAUCAGAACUCCGCAGUUAAGCGUGCUUGGGCGAGAGUAGUACUAGGAUGGGUGACCUCCCGGGAAGUCCUCGUGUUGCAUCCCUCUUUUUUUUUUUUUUUUUUUGGUUAAAACUUUAUGACUCCAUAACUUCUACACAG
rnacentral:rRNA from 1 species